UUUGAUCCUGGCUCAGAUUGAACGCUGGCGGCAUGCCUUACACAUGCAAGUCGAACGGCAGCGCGGGGCAACCUGGCGGCGAGUGGCGAACGGGUGAGUAAUAUAUCGGAACGUACCCUGGAGUGGGGGAUAACGUAGCGAAAGUUACGCUAAUACCGCAUACGAUCUACGGAUGAAAGUGGGGGAUCGCAAGACCUCAUGCUCCUGGAGCGGCCGAUAUCUGAUUAGCUAGUUGGUAGGGUAAAAGCCUACCAAGGCAUCGAUCAGUAGCUGGUCUGAGAGGACGACCAGCCACACUGGAACUGAGACACGGUCCAGGCUCCUACGGGAGGCAGCAGUGGGGAAUUUUGGACAAUGGGCGCAAGCCUGAUCCAGCAAUGCCGCGUGAGUGAAGAAGGCCUUCGGGUUGUAAAGCUCUUUUGUCAGGGAAGAAACGGGUUUUUCUAAUACAGAGAUCUAAUGACGGUACCUGAAGAAUAAGCACCGGCUAACUACGUG
rnacentral:rRNA from 1 species